rnacentral:rRNA from 1 species
CCUACGGGUGGCAGCAGUGAGGAAUAUUGGUCAAUGGGCUUACGCCUGAACCAGCCAAGUCGCGUGAGGGAAGACUGCCCUAUGGGUUGUAAACCUCUUUUGUCAGGGAGCAACGCCGGCUACGUGUAGCCGGACUGAGAGUACCCGAAGAACAAGCAUCGGCUAACUCCGUGCAAGCAGCCGCGGUAAUACGGGGGACGCGAGCGUUAUCCGGUUUUAUCGGGUUUAAAGGGUGCGUGAGCGGAAUGCCAAGUCAGCGGUAAAAUCGCGGGGCUCAACCUCGCUCCGCCGUUGAAACUGGCGGUCUUGAGUGGGCGAGAAGUAAGCGGAAUGCGUGGUGUAGCGGUGAAAUGCAUAGAUAUCACGCAGAACUCCGAUUGCGAAGGCAGCAUACCGGCGCCCAACUGACGCUGAGGCACGAAAGCGUGGGUAUCGAACAGGAUUAGAUACCCCGGUAGUC